UGGGAGCCCAAGGCAAGAGAUCGCUUGAACCCAGGAGUUCAAGAUCAGCCUGGGCAGCAUAGUGAGACCCCAUCUCUACAAAAAAUACAAAUAUUAGCCUGGCCUGGUGGCACGCGUGCCUGCCUGUAGUCCUAGCUACUUGGAAGGCUGAGGUAGAGGAUUACUUGAGCCCAGGAGUUCAAGGCUACUGUGAACCAUGAUGGCACCACUGUACUCCAGCCUGGGCAACACAGCAAGACCCU
rnacentral:lncRNA from 10 species